rnacentral:rRNA from 1 species
AUUGGUACUGAUGCUGGCUCUUAACUGAGCAUGUGCUCGUCCAUCUAUUUAUCUUCUCUUGUGCACAUUUUGUAGUCUUGAACGUACCUCUCGCAGUAAAAUGCGGUUUGGGAGCUUGGGCGCCAAGCCCUUCUCCUGCUUCUUCAAGGCUAUGUUUUCAUAUACACUAUAAAGUUACAGAAUGUCUUUUAACGAUUGCGCUUGUCGUAGUCAUUAAACCUAUACAACUUUCAGCAACGGAUCUCUUGGCUCUCCUAUCGAUGAAGAACGCAGCGAAAUGCGAUAAGUAAUGUGAAUUGCAGAAUUCAGUGAAUCAUCGAAUCUUUGAACGCACCUUGCGCCCUUUGGUAUUCCGAAGGGCAUGCCUGUUUGAGUGUCAUUAAAUUAUCAACCUUGCUCGCUCUUACCGGCUUGAGUUAGGCUUGGAUGUGAGGGCUUUGCGGGCUUCCUUCAGUGGAUGGUCUGCUCCCUUUAAAUGCAUUAGUGGGAUCUCUUGUGGACCGUCACUUGGUGUGAUAAUUAUCUAUGCCACUUGACCUUGAAGCAAAACUUAUGGGAACCCGCUCAUAACCGUCUUCGGACAACUUUUGACAUUUUGACCUCAAAUCAGGUAGGACUACCCGCUGAACUUAAGCAUAU